rnacentral:lncRNA from 1 species
CAUCCAUUGGCUGAAAGCUUCGUCUAUUUGAGGCUGACUGAAAGCGUUCCUUUCUUCUGUGUUGCCUGGAAACGGACUGUCUGCCUAGUAACAUCUGAUCGCGUUUCCCAUUGGCCGCCGUUUCCGGAAGCCCGCCCUCCCAUUUCCGGAAGCCUGGCUUAAGGUUGGUCUGCAGGUGGCCUCCAGGUGCAAAGUGGGAAGUGUGAGUCCUCAGUCUUGGGCUAUUCGGCCACGUGCCUGCCGGACAUGGGACGCUGGAGGGUCAGCAGCGUGGAGUCCUGGCCUUUUGCGUCCACGGGUGGGAAAUUGGCCAUUGCCACGGCGGGAACUGGGACUCAGGCUGCCUCCCGGCCGUUUCUCAUCAGUCCACUGGACUCGUGGGCGCUCGCACUGGCGCUGAUGUAGUUUCCUGACCUCUGACCCGUAUUGUCUCCAGAUUAAAGGUACGACAUUUGGAGGCCCCAGCGAGAAACGCCACCGGGCGAGAGCCGGGCCCGCUGUGUGCUCCCCCGGAAGGACAGCCAGCUUGUAGGGGGGAGCGCCACCUGAAAAAAAAUUUCCAGGUCCCCAAAGGGUGACCGUCUUCCGGAGGACAGCGGAUCGACUACCAUGUGGGUGCCCACAAAAAUUCCACCUCUGAGUCCUCAACUGCUGACCCCGGGGUCAGGCCCCUGGAUCCUCCUGGAAUCCCCGAUCCCUGUUGCUCCCUGGCGGAGUUUUCUAGUCCCUCUUACUUGAAGCAUGUCUUUCAGAGCCCGGCACCACCCAUCUUGAGUAUCUGAUACCCCAUCAGCCUGAGUCUCUUAAAGGCCUUUAUACGCAUAUGUCUACACAUAGGGAUUUGGAUUAUCUCGGGAUCCCACAUCCUCGCUGUCCCCUGUCCCCCCGCAACAUCCCCCACCAAUACCUUUCUGAAGUUUUCUAGUCCCUCCUUUUAGUUUGUGCUCCUUAAAGCCCAGCCCCAUGCCUGACUUUGGUUCCCAGUGAGCAUUGUACAUUUGUGGAUAUUAAAUCUUUGGCAAAGUCAUUUACCUGGGCUGGAAUAGGGCUCUUGGCUGAUUCUUUUUCCUAAACACCCACCCAAUGGGAGAGGCUGAUACUCAACAUGCAAACCUUGUGUUUUAUUUCUCCAGGCGAAGGGAUGUUGGAAGACAUUCUGGAAGGGGUGGGGUGUGAAGAUUUAAAAAUAAUCUUUGAAUAUCCGCUUCAUGAUAGGUCUUGGAGGUGCCUUGUGGGUGUGGCUUUGGGGGGAUGGUUACGAGGAAAUUGUGGAUAUUAAGGAAGUCAGGAAAGGAAAAGAUCAGUCACAAUUCAACAAUUCAGAGAAAGCUCCUAAGGGACUUUCUGGCUGCUUGAUGCCCAGAG